rnacentral:lncRNA from 1 species
UCUUCCGGUGACGUACGACGUUACGUUGAAGUUUGUGACUCGCUAUUGGCUGCCGCCAGUUUCGUCCGUGUCAUAGAUUUGGAAAACUCGUGACGAGGUUCCUCCGGAUUCGAAUCGGACUGGUCAUUUAAUUCAAAGAUGCUAAUCUCGCUGGUCGCCCUCGAGCAUAACUUAUCGAGAACAUAAACACGAGAGAGCGAUUUUUUUUCUCAUGGGAUGUACCGGUAUCUCGUAAGGCGAGUCAACCUUCUCGAGUGUUUGCGGCCGCUAGUAUUUACCGAGUGGACAACGGUAGCCAUGUCUCUUCGCGCGGAUCUACAACAUUUACAGACCCACCAACAGACAUAAUUACUCUCUUAUAAAGAAGACGAAAAAUGCUUUGAACGUUGAGUUUAAUGUAUCUAUCAGAGAUCCCUCACAAAAUGAGAACAAUAAAGAAGCCGUGAAACUGUGAGUCGGACAGGAUUAAUGCGAAGAGAUUCGGCAGAGAUUCGGUAAUUCCCUUUUAACUUAUCGUGUUGGAAAAGCAAAAACUCGCCCAACGAAUUCCGAUCGUGCUGUGAUGAAUGGAGCGACGCGAUGCACACGCGCGAUGCGCGACUUUUUGCAUUUGUGGAACGUUGAUAAAAAAGGAAAGGGAGAAGAAAUGAUUAACACUUUGCGAGGUGCGAUCGCUUUGCAAACUAUCGAAUACCGAUGAAUACCGAAUCGAAUACAAGUUUAGAUUGAUUUUGAGAAAUUUGCCUGCAGAAAAGAAAUUAAAUGUACAGGAAAAAAGAGACAGACAGACAGAUAGAAGGUAUGUCUGUCAGAAGAGGAAAAGGAGUGAAAUUGCUUUAUCGUUUCUCGCCUAGCGACAUCGAUCCACACGGGCAUAGUUAAUACGAUUGCAAGGAAUAACGAGCUUAAUCUCAUCAGAGUGCCUACACGUAAUAAGACCGAUUAGUCGUGGCAUGAGAUAUCUCUCCCUCCUCGUAAUUGUUGAUACGCACGGUUGGGUGGUCGACCACUCGCACAGUUUCCGUACAACUCGGACGCUCUGAGCCAAGCGAUGGAAGAGAAAGAGGAGAGAGACUACCUAACGACUCGCUAACUAACAAAACAAACAAGAGGUAGCUAGUACCCCUCUCAUCUCAUCUCGCUGAUUAUAUACCCUGCGGGGACCUCUAUACACGACGGUACCUCCUUUCGCAUUCCUCCCUGUUUUCACCCUUUUUUCUCUCUUUCUCUUUUCGAUCUGCUUCAUCUUUUUUUCAUGACGAAUUCGGAAAAAUUGAGCGCAGUGUCGAUGCAUCGCAUGAAAGAGUCUGUUUAUGCACGCAAACUUAUGCCCAUCGCGAGAUCCAUAUGCGGGACCGACUUGCGUGAGCGAUUACGAAAGAUUCUUGAAUCUCUUUGAUGAUAAACCAGAGCCGCUCUCCGAGCUCUUUGUAUAAACCUAACAAUAGAAUACAAAUAAGUUCGACCAGUCGUUAAAAUUACAAAGUAUUUCUUAUAAUCACUAUAUGCGCUCCUCGAACUAUAUUGUUAUUCUAAUUAGACAAAUCUUCCGAGUGUUCAUGUCAGCUCCAUAAUUAGUAUCGUGUUGUUUAUAUAUUUUAAUCUUGUAUAUCAACAUUAUAUUAUAUUUAUAUUAUGUAUAUAUAAAUGAUGGACAAAGCUCUCUCUGGGAUCACUGGAUGCACUGGAUAAUGCCAGCGGCUUGUUAUCGGGACUUCGACGGCUCCACCAUUCCCGAAGAGCUCUUAUCUUGGAUAAAUUAUCGAGGAAUUCUCGGAUCCGGAUCCUUAAGCUUUAAGGCCCGGCUGGGCAUUGAGAGAGAGAUGAUGGAUCAGCUCUUUCCUCGAGCCCCUCUUUCGACUUGUCCUUUUUCUCCUCGUUCCUGAGACGGCCGUCAAACUGUUAGGGCAUUGGGGAAAGAGAGGGAGGGGAAAGGGGAGAACGAAGAAGGAAGAGAAAAAAGAGAAACGGAAACGAAACUGCCGGACUACCUAUUACCAUGAAGCCCGUACGAUCCUCUUUGUCAAUGGCGUAGCAACGUCAAUUACCGGUUUGAUUCUUGGAGAUAGAAGGCUCUAACGAGAAUUGUAGAACGUCAUUUACAUAUUAACAAUUUUACAGAUAAAUCUAUAUCGACUUUUCAGGAAAAAAUAUAGCCAUAAAUUAUGCAUACAUAGAAAUAAAAUUACGCAGAAGUCAUUUUUAAUUUGCUAAUAAAUUAUUCUAAAAUAAAAGCGAAGUUUACAAGGUCGAGUUACGUUUCUAUUCUCUAGUGAGUAGCGUGUAAUUUUGACUUUAAAAUCGUCCUUUUUCAUGUAAACUUGUUAUAAGUUACAAAGAAUUAAGAAGGGUAGUAGAAAAAGCGAGACAGAACAAUGCAUGGCAGGGGUUGCAAGGUCCUACGGGUCCAUUGCUUCGUGUCCGUAGGGCGCGAUGUUUAUCGGCUCUUUCGAUGUAAAUUAUGGCCAUACGCUAUACGACCAGUUUGCUACAGCUAUACAAAAGUAUUCGGGUCCAGGGCCGAACCUUUACGAUAGAUGUAUUGAUUCUUUCAUUCUUUCAAAUGUAAGAAUUGUAAAGUGAAAGUCUACAAAUUUAAAAAUUGGAAAAUUCGAAACUGUAUGGAUUCAAAAUCAACAAAAUUUAUACAAAAGGAAAUCUCCAAAAUCUUGGUAUUUAUAGAUGAAUUUUUUAUGUUCAAAUAUUCACAUAAAUUCAAGGAUUCAUUCGACGAGACGAUCGAAUUUCGCGAAACUCAUUUGCAUACACAAUCUCAACCACAAAUUGCAUCCAUGCAUUGUGAAUCAUCUUGCUCUUUGCUUGGUCCGAGAAGCAUCGCUUUGUUCACCUCCCAUCCCAACCCCCGUUUCUCUCACUCUCUCUUUCUUUUUCUCUCUCUCUCUCUUGUUCUGCUUUUCUCGCGCCUUCUUUCUCCGUCUAGAAGCAGCUUGCUUUCUCUAAGAUGGAAUGCCAUUGACUCCAUGCAUAUCUGGCAACAAGGUUCCUCUCGACCCACCUCAUAUAUCGGGUGACUCUCGUUUAUUUCGAAAAUCAAAAGGUAGCCGAAGGUAAAAAAAGACUAAAAGAAACAAAAAUUUCACAAGGUAUAUAAAGCGAAGAACUUAAAAAUCAUAAAUGCCAAUAAUACGUAGACAACGAAAAAUUUAAAGAUCUUUGAAUUGGAUUUACAAAUACCGAUGAUUUGAUGAAAAUGAAAUAAAGGAGGAGUCAUCUACAAUCAUUUACAAAGCUUUUUUGUACAAAUACUUGAAUUUUAAUCCUUUGCAUUAUCAAAUUUUACCAUGUUCAAGCCAAAAGUAUACAUGUAUAUCGCAUUACUUUCUGUAAGAUGUAUCGAGAUCUUUAUCGAUCUGUAAAUCUGACGAAGCAGAAAUCUAUUUUACAUAACGCGAUAGUAAUGGAUUAUCGAAGCAAACACGGUCAGACGAUUUUUUACUUAUGCCACCCGUUAGACGAGUUAAGAUGAGCCUCUCAGCAUAAACGGGAUGAGAUGGGAUGGGACGAGAUGGGAGUCAGAGGCUCGUUAGCGGCACGAGGGGAGUCAACACUGUUGCCAGAUUGUUAUCCCUACCUCGGACGAUGCAGUCUCGCCGCAGCGAGGCGAGAGUGCAACAAGGCGCUCCGAAACAACCGACAACUUCGAAACGCGUUACACGGAUAUCCUUCGGUUCUCACAUCUGUACGUAAUUAAAAUCGAGCAAUAGAAGAGCCUGCCAAAAUUCCUUCUUCAAUUGAAACGUCAAAAAAAAUAAACGAAUACGUUAUUUAUAGAUAUAACGAAUUAAAAUAAUGAAAGAUAAUUGUUAUUCAAAACAAUAGUCUAUAGUUGUUAUUUUAAAGAAUGUAAAACAAAUAUAAAG